rnacentral:lncRNA from 1 species
UCUAAGAGUGUGAUCCAGGCCCCUACUUCCCCUUAGACAAUCUGAUGUGCACACUGUAAAAAUGACACAGCAACAGAUCCAGUAUUUAAAACAUAAAGGACAGAAAUGCCAUUUCCCCUUAAUUUCUUAAAAAAUAAAAAUCAGCGUUUGACUUUGGAGGACUCGGGUCAGCCCUUGUGACUGUCUAGCUGGCUGCAACGCUGUAAUUCAACAUCAUUUAUAAAUUCUGCUGAUGGGCAGGGAUGUAUGAACACAAUUAUUGUCAGCACAAAGCCUUAAAACCUGCUGACUUCAAGCUAAACUGUGAAGCCCUGCGAGGCCCAGCAUCUUCCGGGAGACCAGAAGGCCCCGGCAAUACGGACAGAGUAUGGAUUAGCAUGCUCAACACUGUCCACUCACUACAGUAGCAUCUCCUCGUCUCACGCACCCACUCCUGAAUAGACAAUUGUUAGAGUAUAUUUGUUAUUUUUCUGGCUGUCUUUAAAACAAAAAGGCCAAGGUAGUCAAUCAUACCAGUGAGAUAAAUGUUACAGAUUAAACAGCAGAACCAGGAACCCAAUCAAUACAAGUUAUGGAAGUCUUUGACAUGCUUCAUUUGCAAAGCUGGGGCACUGUGGUUCCUGCAAGGGUCCAUCAGGGUCCUAGCUGUUCUGAGUCACAUGCUAAUCAGAUCUCCCCCACGUUACCCUUUGCAAGGUCAAAGGCAAAGCUGCAGUGUCGUCAGUUGGGUAGACAGAUAGCUAGGUAUCUUCGUAAUCUGGGGCAAAUAAAUAUUGACUCUAGACUUAAUCUUGAUUUUUAAAAUAUUGUUUUCCUCUGCCUUUCUGAUUUAAAUAGACAAAUUUAGCAAAAAAAGAAAAAUGUCUUUUCUACUGAAUGUCAGUGCCCUUAGCUACCUAGACUCUCCUCCUGGUGUUCUCUGAGAUGAACAGAUGAUCUCACUCUGUCAGCCUGAGGACAGACAGCUCGAUGACAGAAGCAGCUCUCCACAGCUUUGCACUGAGGUGGUUGCCCCUAGUCGAGCCACUGGAUCAAGCAUCUCCCGGUGAGAUAGUAGAUGACAGAAGCCUGUCUUUCAAUACCCCUACCACGCAGUUAGUUCUUAAAUAAAACAAAAACCACCAAAUAAAUAAAUAAGAAUAAAAUAACCUAGUAUUGUUCACAUCUUAAUUCAGUUCUCACCAAGUGAAAACCGCUUUGUGCACAGGAGAAAGUUAACUUUUCGUGGUGGGAACCUGGGGACCAUUUCUAAAUGCUGUGUUGCAAUUCCACAUGGCCACUUCUUUUAUGCUAAUCCUGUAUUAUUUGUGUGUGUGCACUCAAGGUGAUAGUCUGUGCCUAGAUCUAAACUACACCAGCGUGGGGAUUUAAAAAAAAAAUCCUUCAAAACACCAGUUCUUUCCCCCCAUAAGUACAAAUGUCCUUGUGCCUUCUGUGGCUUUCUGUCUUCUUUUCACUUUAUUUCCAAGUACAGCUGCAAUAAACACUAAUUUCUUUUCCUGGCCGUUUGACAUGAUGUUGAUAGCUAUGCAUAUUUUGCGUCUUUUUAAAACAAAGCGGGAGAAUAAUGUUUUUGAAGAAGAGAAAUUUUUAGAACAGUUUGAUACACCGCAAAUUAUUUUUUUUUCUCAAUUGUCUGAGCAGCAUUCGCGUUUUUGAGAUUCUUGUAGAAGCCGAUUUUUUUGUAACUGUGGUGUAGCUCUCGUGUGUUAUUAGCCUAAUGAGAAGCACUAUAGAAGCAAUAUUUCAUACCAUGUGCAAUGUGUGUGCAGAAGUGUGGGCGUGAGCACGCAGGCACACACAUGUAAAAAUAUACAUAUGUAUGCGUGUGAAGUGGAAAGCUUACCUUUUCUUAUCUAGACUUUAAGAACCUAUUUUAGGCAUUUGUUAUGUUUUGUGUAAAGAAUGUUCUAUUUGCAACAACACGACCCUGACUUCUUACCGUCUCUCUGGCAGUUCAAUGGAGGUGUUUUGCAUUAAAUGGUAAAAUUGCGUGGAAGAUGUUAGGAUCUAGUAAUUAUUUCAGUGAAUGUUCAUACCAUAUUCCUGAAGUUUGCUUUGUGCCUCUGAGUGUUACUUAAUUGAAGUAUUUUAUGUUUGAAGAAUCCUUGUUACUGUGCUAGGAAUAUGGGUGACUAUCAUUUUUAAAAUAUUUUAAAAACAUC